UUAGGAUCAUGGUUAUUCUGUUAGAAUUAGAGCUGCAAUUCAGUUAGUGGAUUCCCUACUCCCAGUUAUUCCAAGGUGUAGGAGACCUCAAGAAAUGGAGACUUGGAGAUAAAGGAGAUUCCAAAGCAGGGGAGACUCCAAGAAAGAGAGACUGGAAGGCUCCCUUCAGGAGAGCGUUAGCGAGAGCUCGAAACGAGGCAGAACUGAGCACCCGCGAUCUGUUUGAUGGAGCCUUCUCAUUCAGAUAUGCCACGCCCUGGAGGAGAGAAGCCGUAUGCGUGCGAUAUAUGUGAAUACAGGUGUA